rnacentral:rRNA from 1 species
GAUUGCCUCAGUAACGGCGAGUGAAGCGGCAAAAGCUCAAAUUUUAAAGCUGGCACCUCCGGUGUCCGCGUUGUAAUUUUGUGAGGCAUCUCCGGGUAGGGCGCCGGCCUAAGUUCCUUGGAACAGGACGUCAUAGAGGGUGAGAAUCCCGUGCUUGGCUGGCUGUCCCCGUCCAUGUGAGGUGUCUUCGACGAGUCGAGUUGUUUGGGAAUGCAGCUCAAAAUGGGUGGUAAAUUUCAUCUAAAGCUAAAUAUUGGUGGGAGACCGAUAGCGCACAAGUAGAGUGAUCGAAAGAUGAAAAGCACUUUGAAAAUAGAGUUAAAAAGUACGUGAAAUUGUUGAAAGGGAAGCGCUUGAGACCAGACUUCGGUGGGGAGUGAUCAGCUGUCCUUCUGGGCGGUGCACUUGCUCCCCUCCGGGCCAGCAUCGGUUGGGACGGCGGGAUAAAGGUCCCGGGAAUGUGGCUCCUUUCGGGGAGUGUUAUAGCCCGGGAUGAAAUGCCGCCAGCUCCGACCGAGGACCGCGCCUUCGGGCUAGGAUG